UUUUGAAUUCAUCGCUGAGUAAUGAUUCCUAAAUCGUGAUUAUGACAUGGAUCAUUGCCGAUGGGUUUAAUCGGAAACGAUUAAGCCUCCCGUGUUUGGAAAGGCGAGAUGAAUUAAACCAU
rnacentral:ncRNA from 2 species